rnacentral:rRNA from 1 species
UACGAAGGGGGCUAGCGUUGCUCGGAAUCACUGGGCGUAAAGGGUGCGUAGGCGGGUCUUUAAGUCAGGGGGGAAAUCCUGGAGCUCAACUCCAGAACUGCCUUUGAUACUGAGGAUCUUGAGUUCGGGAGAGGUGAGUGGAACUGCGAGUGUAGAGGUGAAAUUCGUAGAUAUUCGCAAGAACACCAGUGGCGAAGGCGGCUCACUGGCCGAGACCUGACGCUGAGACGCGACGGCGUGGGGAGCAAACCGG